AGUCGAGGGGUAUGGGCUUUCGGGCCCGAGACCGGCGCACGGGUGCGUAACGCGUAUGCAAUCUACCUUUUACAGCGGGAUAGCCCAGAGAAAUUUGGAUUAAUACCACAUAGUAUUAUAGGAUGGCAUCAUUUUAUAAUUAAAGUCACAACGGUAAAAGAUGAGCAUGCGUCCCAUUAGCUAGUUGGUAAGGUAACGGCUUACCAAGGCAACGAUGGGUAGGGGUCCUGAGAGGGAGAUCCCCCACACUGGUACUGAGACACGGACCAGACUCCUACGGGAGGCAGCAGUGAGGAAUAUUGGACAAUGGGCGCAAGCCUGAUCCAGCCAUGCCGCGUGCAGGAUGACGGUCCUAUGGAUUGUAAACUGCUUUUAUACAGGAAGAAACCCUUGCUCGUGAGCAAGAUUGACGGUACUGUAAGAAUAAGGAUCGGCUAACUCCGUGCCAGCAGCCGCGGUAAUACGGAGGAUCCAAGCGUUAUCCGGAAUCAUUGGGUUUAAAGG
rnacentral:rRNA from 1 species